AUUGAGCGCUGGCGGCAGGCUUAACACAUGCAAGUCGAACGAGUGGCGGACGGGUGAGUCAUGCUUGGGAAUCUAGCUUAUGGAGGGGGAUAACUACGGGAAACUGUAGCUAAUACCGCGUACCAUAGGCUGAGCCCAAGUGGGAUUAGGUAGUUGGUGAGGUAAAGGCUCACCAAGCCGACGAUCUCGAGCUGGUCUGAGAGGAUGACCAUCCAAACUGGGACUGAGACACGGCCCAGACUCCUACGGGAGGCAGCAGUGGGGAAUAUUGCGCAAUGGGGGCAACCCUGACGCAGCCAUGCCGCGUGAAUGAAGAAGGCCUUCGGGUGGUAAAGUACUUUCAGUCGGGAGGCGUUACCGACAGAAUAAGCACCGGCUAACUCCGUGCCAGCAGCCGCGGUAAUAC
rnacentral:rRNA from 1 species